CCUACGGGAGGCAGCAGUGGGGAAUAUUGGGCAAUGGGCGCAAGCCUGACCCAGCGAUGCCGCGUGAAGGAAGAAGGCUUUCGGGUUGUAAACUUCUUUGACAGGGGAAGAGCAGAAGACGGUACCCUGAAAACAAGCCACGGCUAACUACGUGCCAGCAGCCGCGGUAAUUCGUAGGGGGCAAGCGGUGUCCGGAUUUACUGGGGGGAAAGGGCGUGUAGCCGGGAAGGCAAGUCAGAUGUGAAAUCUGGAGGCUCAACCUCCAAAUUGCAUUUGAAACUGUUUUGCUUGAGUACUGGAGAGGCAGACGGAAUUCCUUGUGUAGCGGUGAAAUGCGUAGAUAUAAGGAGGAACACCAGUGGCGAAGGCAGUCUGCUGGAUAGCAACUGACGGUGAGGCGCGAAAGCGUGGGGAGCAAACAGGAUUAGAUACCCGAGUAGUC
rnacentral:rRNA from 1 species